rnacentral:rRNA from 1 species
AUGAACGCUAGCGGCAGGCUUAAUACAUGCAAGUCGAGGGGCAGCAGGGGUAGCAAUACUCGCUGGCGACCGGCGCACGGGUGCGUAACACGUAUGCAAUCUACUCUUUAUUGGGGGAUAGCCUUCUGAAAGGAAGAUUAAUACCCCAUAUGAUUUACUUAAGGCAUCUUAGGUUUCUCAAAGGUUUACCGAUAAAGAAUGAGCAUGCGUCUGAUUAGCUAGUUGGCGGGGUAAUGGCCCACCAAGGCGACGAUCAGUAGGGGAUCUGAGAGGAUGACCCCCCACACGGGUACUGAGACACGGACCCGACUCCUACGGGAGGCAGCAGUAAGGAAUAUUGGUCAAUGGAGGCAACUCUGAACCAGCCAUGCCGCGUGCAGGAAGACGGCCCUAUGGGUUGUAAACUGCUUUUACAAGGGAAUAACCCUUCUUUUGCGAAAGGAGCUGAAUGUACUUUGUGAAUAAGGAUCGGCUAACUCCGU